rfam:Weissella oryzae SG25 DNA, scaffold: sequence14.
GGGUUGUUAGCUCAGUUGGUAGAGCAUCGGACUUUUAAUCCGCUGGUCCAGGGUUCGAGCCCCUGACAACCCA